UACGUAGGGGGCAAGCGUUGUCCGGAUUUAUUGGGCGUAAAGCGCGUGUAGGCGGUUUCUUAAGUCUGAUGUGAAAGCCCUGGGCUCAACCCAGGAAGUGCAUUGGAUACUGGGAGACUUGAAUACGGGAGAGGGAUGCAGAAUUCCAGGUGUAGCGGUGAAAUGCGUAGAUAUCUGGAGGAAUACCGGUGGCGAAGGCGGCAUCCUGGACCGGCAUUGACGCUGAGGAGCGAAAGCUAGGGGAGCAAACGGGG
rnacentral:rRNA from 1 species